GAGUAAUGUCUGGGAAACUGCCUGAUGGAGGGGGAUAACUACUGGAAACGGUGGCUAAUACCGCAUAACGUCGCAAGACCAAAGAGGGGGACCUUCGGGCCUCUUGCCAUCAGAUGUGCCCAGAUGGGAUUAGCUUGUUGGUGAGGUAACGGCUCACCAAGGCGACGAUCCCUAGCUGGUCUGAGAGGAUGACCAGCCACACUGGAACUGAGACACGGUCCAGACUCCUACGGGAGGCAGCAGUGGGGAAUAUUGCACAAUGGGCGCAAGCCUGAUGCAGCCAUGCCGCGUGUAUGAAGAAGGCCUUCGGGUUGUAAAGUACUUUCAGCGGGGAGGAAGGUGUUGUGGUUAAUAACCGCAGCAAUUGACGUUACCCGCAGAAGAAGCACCGGCUAACUCCGUGCCAGCAGCCGCGGUAAUACGGAGGGUGCAAGCGUUAAUCGGAAUUACUGGGCGUAAAGCGCACGCAGGCGGUCUGUCAAGUCGGAUGUGAAAUCCCCGGGCUCAACCUGGGAACUGCAUUCGAAACUGGCAGGCUUGAGUCUUGUAGAGGGGGGUAGAAUUCCAGGUGUAGCGGUGAAAUGCGUAGAGAUCUGGAGGAAUACCGGUGGCGAAGGCGGCCCCCUGGACAAAGACUGACGCUCAGGUGCGAAAGCGUGGGGAGCAAACAGGAUUAGAUACCCUGGUAGUCCACGCCGUAAACGAUGUCUACUUGGAGGUUGUGCCCUUGAGGCGUGGCUUCCGGAGCUAACGCGUUAAGUAGACCGCCUGGGGAGUACGGCCGCAAGGUUAAAACUCAAAUGAAUUGACGGGGGCCCGCACAAGCGGUGGAGCAUGUGGUUUAAUUCGAUGCAACGCGAAGAACCUUACCUGGUCUUGACAUCCACAGAACUUUCCAGAGAUGGAUUGGUGCCUUCGGGAACUGUGAGACAGGUGCUGCAUGGCUGUCGUCAGCUCGUGUUGUGAAAUGUUGGGUUAAGUCCCGCAACGAGCGCAACCCUUAUCCUUUGUUGCCAGCGAUUAGG
rnacentral:rRNA from 6 species